CUAUAUUGUUCAGUUCCUUGUUCCUGUUACUCCCACUCAUACACAUUACAUGCUCUGUAUUUGUAUAACUGCCCACUGCAGCUGUCGAGAAAUGUGAAUGAUGCAUAGCCGUGUAUUAUAAUAUGACGUGUGUAUGGGCAUGUGCUGCAUGGCGGUGUUGCAUCACUGCACAGCUUAAUAAAAGAUUCACACGGUAUCUGUUUAGAUCAGCAGGUCGACACAUUUCACACCGCGCUCUUUGACAGGACAAUGAAUAAUGCAUGUUGUGUCAUUCUUUUUAAUGACUUGCUUGUUCAGUCCUACGCCCACAGACUAGAGGAAACUGUCCCAUCACUGCUGAAUGACUGAUUCAUCCAGUUUGGCUGCUCUUGUGUAACAGCGAGGUGGUAUUUCAUCUUUGUUCCAGUGUACCAAAUACCGAAUCAGUCAAGAGUCUACCAACAUCUUUCCAACCAGCUCAAACACGCCUGGCAUGGUGGUUGUUUAUCAGCGAGACGCUAACAAACCAACAAUACACACAGGCUCCGCUAUGUGAAUCCAAAGCCUCUAAUAACAGCUCGCUUUGCCAACACUGCGGGACCCGGACCCCCUCCGCUCAUGUUCCUACGGUAACACAUUCGCUCGCACACACGCAGCACCAGCUGAGGGGAACAGGGACGCUGAUGGAGUAUUUACAUCUGACGCCUUUUUUUCACUGCUCAUUGUUUCAGGCCGGGUCUGGAACCCGGAGCCAUAUUUAUGUGUGACUGUAGGAACACGAUGCCUCAUUAGACCUUUACUGCCCUGGCUCGCCGCGGCCCCAUUCAAACACAACAGCCCGUCUUAUUAUGUCCGUCUCUCGCCCACCUGACCGCUCGGUGCAGAGCCCUGGCAGCCGUAGUCAAGCUGUUCGGCAUCACGGGUGACCGGGACCUUUUGUACAUUGUAACAUCUGCACUGGCUGCUGGUGACAAGGUCUGAGCUCUGAUCUCUCCCAAAACCGGGCCCACGUUUAUGUGGCUCAGCAGCCUCCGUGAACCCUCGCUGCUGCUCUUAUGUCUCCUGCCUUUUUCUUCUCUCACCCAUAGACGAAGUAUAUAGAAAAGCACUGCUUCAGUGACCUUACUUUAAAUUACUGCACAUUUCCCCCCAUUAUUAUUUCCCCUCUGACCGCCUCCGUGCUGUAUAUUCCCCCUGGGUUUGCAGGUUUUUAUUUUGCUCUGGCUUUUUCACCUCUCCCCCUUCGCGGGCUUCCUGUCUGGAAGGAGCUGCCUCUGCUCCCCCCUCCCGUCCAAGGGCGCCUCUCAUCUUCCUUUUGAAUAUUUCCUCUCCCACACGUGUCGUGAGUGUCGCACACACGCACCCUCCUCCUCCUCGCAUCCCUCUAUCGCCCCCGCCUGCACAGCUAAAGCUGUCUGGCUCCCCACACGCACAGAGCAUCCUGGCACGGAGGGAAGAAGCGAAGCAAGUGAGGAAACAAAUGGAAACGGUGCCUGAUCAUGAAGGCCAUCGGAUGCAGACGGUAUUUCGCUUAAGUCCACUUACUCUCCAAUCACCUCGUCAUAUUCCGCUAUUACAUUAUUUACAAGCUAGGACCUGACUAUCGCUCCAGUGUUAGUAGCUGUGAAGUGCCACAGAUAUAAUAGCGGUAGUUGAAAACACAAUGCUCAGAGUCCAUUAAUUAUCUCUGAUGUCAACAGAUUUAGUUGAUAUUCAGAUCACAAACAGCAGCAACUGUAGGGAGCGCGAGGGUGUGGGCGUGUGGUGACGGCGGUGGCAGCAAUAACUGCAUCCUCUGUUUGAUUACUGGGGCCAACUAUUGAAGUAGCCCAUUGACUUUUACCAGGCAAUCCACCCGGAACGCGUGAGUGCAGCAUUAAUAUGAGACACGGCCGCAGCAGCGUGAUGUGGCAGCGAAUUGCCGUCAGUUCUUCAACUCAACGUCCACGGACACAGGCUCAUUAGGCAGUUUUUUUUUUUUCCUCCGCGCCGCGUGGAACCUUUAGGAGACAGCUGAGAUGGAACAAAGAGCGCCCAUUUGUCAGGAGCACACGUUACGGCGCUGACCUACAUCCAGACCCCGGAGCUGUCAGCGGGCAGCGAGCUGUCGGCCGAACUCAUCGCAGCCCUCGGUUUGAAGUAAAGCUUCCACUUCCCAGUCACUUAGUCCAGGUUAAUUCACUCGCUGCUAGAAACGACUGUGAAGGGAAUGAAGGAACUGUAGCUCAGCGAGGUUCGGUCACAACGAGCUUUAUACGCGCUGAACGUUUUUAAUUGUUAUGAUCAGCUUUUUUCUUGUCUUGGCACGUGUCCGUGGGUUCCUCAAGCCUAAAUGUCGCCUCUUUCUAUCAGAAACAAGAAACCCGACGUGACGCUGUGAGACAUUUCCACACACUUCAACGUAACAAAAGAUUGCGGCCGCAUUAGCACAAUUACAUAAUUAUGGGAGCGCGUCCUGGUGUUGAAGUCAAACCAGUGAACUCCUUUCCACUCCGGCUCGUGCAUUAUUAGCCGCACACGGCGGCGCCGCUUUCCCAUGGACCCGCGCUCGCUCUCAGCCGCCCGUCACCCCGCGUUCAGCUCAAGCCCGUGAUUAAUGAGUCAUCGAGUCCAAGGGGCCAUCUCUGCCUGUGUCAACGCAACCGGCCGCGUGCGCCCGUGCUCCUGGAGCUCCAUCACUGUCCGCGUCUGCGCCGGCUGCACAGGCUCAACUCCACAGUCCAGAGGAAUGACCCGUCUGCAGCGGAAGUCCCGACCAAUUACCAAGUUGCAGCGGGUUGUUAGAGGAACACACCACUCCCACAGGCGAAGACCCAAAUUAAUAACAUCAAGCAUGGAAACUGAAGAGGACGGUCUAUCCAUCUCACUUCCUUCUAUCUGGUAAUGGCACCCAGUGUCUGGUGGUAAUAGCCUCUCUGUGGCACGCAGAGAGCAGCCACAUAUUAAUGAAUGCUGCCAUUUGCUUGCACAAGCAGCUUCUGAGGGUCUAUCAAAGCAAAUUGCUUUAUCUGGAAUGAACAUGACCCCAUCAAUGACAGGGUUUCGUAAACAAGCCAUUAUCCAUCUAAGGCAUAAUUACAUUGUUAAUGUCAGUAUGUUGCGGGGCGUUACGAGCGCCGUCUAGACAGCUACCUGGGCUAAUUGAAAAGCGCAUCAUACGUUUAGGAUGUGAGCUGGAGGGCGGAGAGGCUGCACGGCCCCGUGUCUUUGUAUAAAUUGAAAUUCAACGGUCCAAACAAUCAAAGGGCUCAGGCGGUACAGGGGGGUCAGCGAUGGGCAACACAGCCGAACAGAGCAGAACAGAGCAGCUGGAUUGGAGCGAUGGGCCCGGAGGCUGAAGCCGUAAUAACAGGUUAAUAACAGGUGAGAAGUGGGCGUGGAAGACCAGGCGAGUGCCCCGGCGGGAGGCUGGAGUAGCUCAGAUGAAGGAUGAAGAAAUGUGUAAAUAAUACAUGAGUGUUUGAUUUUUUUAAUGCUUUUAUUCAUUGUGAGACGUGGAAGGCGCUCGUGUGGAGGCGGCCAUAAAGAACCAGACGAGGACCAGCUCAGCUGCCUCCAGGGAGCCGUCCAUUGCCGAUUUCUCCAUCCGGUUUAAUUGGGAGAAGCUCUGGAGAGGCUACACGACUUGCCUGGCGUGGGAACGCCUUGAGAUUCCCCCGAGGAGAGAGCGCAAAGCAUCUGGACCCCACUGCUCAACCUGCUGCUAGCACCACCACUCAGCUCCGAGAAACUCGCCAGAUGGAUGCUUUUAUUGUGAAGCACCCUGCAACUUUUGUUGUGAAGAGCCUGGUAUAUGCUCAUAACAGCAAAAUUGAUCACUUUAAUCCUGUGGCUCACAAUAAAUCAAUAUUGACUUAAGCGUGUGAGGAGAAAACAUGGAUUCUUCAUUAAUCCCAGCAAAUCACCUGAUGCUGUCGGAGCGGCACCGGAUACAGGAUUCGCUCAGGACCCUUCGUGAGGCAGACGCAUCGGAGUGAGCAGCGCUGCACAUGAGGACAUGUCACCGAGGCAGGAUCCAUAGCAACGCAGGCGGCUGAAUCCAGGCAGAGGACGACAUCAUGUACAAAUGUGAUAAAUGCUGUGAAGCAGAAAACCCUCUUGCUGUCUUUAUCCAGCGCUCUCCAUUAAGGCGAUUUGCUAAGGUACUGUACGCCCCAUUUGGAGCCGGCGCCGCUGCUCAUCCAGAUGCUCACCUCCAGCCAGCGCGGCAGGAUGAACGGGUGACUCACCACGUCACCGCGCAGGUGCUUCUGACGGCGUGGCAGCCAUGUGCGGACGCGUCGCCACCAAUUACAUGUUCCCAGUGUCAGACGCUGGUUCGCGCCGGCUGCCGCUGCUGUGGAUGCUGAGCGGCCUAAUCAUGCUGAGAAUGUUCAGACGAGGCAGAGGAAAGAUGGUGUUUGUUGGUGUUUACACAUUCCACAAUGUGGGAAGAGGCCCAUUUUUACCCUCAAAUGUUCGGAAUUAAUAAUUGCCUGUUUGUUUCUCACUUUCUUUGCUGUGCACUUAGAUGGAUGGACGAUGAAAUUAUUACUGCGACGUAAUCGGUUGUCCGUGACCCAUGUUUUGGUGUCUUUGUUGCCCAUUAAAGUAAUUUUCCGACUCUCCAAUUAGCCUUUAGCCUUUUGGAGCCAUUUCUGUAUCUUUUUUUUCCUUUUCAGGUAUAAUUUCACACUUUUCCUUGGGCGUGCUGUGUUUAACACGCGUCCUGGUGUCGAGUCUCGUUCCAACAAUCCCUGAUUACGUUUUCACCAUCAAAGACCGCUCGACUUCACAGAAUGAACACACAACAUCAUUACAACUAUUCAUUCACCGCGCAUCGAGUUCCAUUGACUCGGCGGUGAAAUUAACACGAUACCCUGGCACGCGAGCAGCGGCGUUUAUUGUACGAGCGAGAGCAAAACACAACGUCUAUAUAAAGAACGGCACGAAAGAGGAAUGGCUUACAAGCAGCGGAGAACAAAGAUUAUGGGUCAGAAGCCAGAAUCCGAGCAGGCAAUUAAAAACCCGCGUAUGCAAAGAAUGUUGCCUGAUGUUGUCUGUGGGAAAUGAGGAGGGAAGCGUGCACACGCUGCCUUUGUGUUCUAAACAAAGUGAUAAUACCCUGGUUGUGCUUCACCUGCAUUUAAUGUCUGUGCAAGCAGCCAGAUAUGCUAAUGUGACGCGUAUGUGAGGAGUAUGAACAAUUGUUCAGCCAAGCCCUUCCUCCCUCGGGGGCAGCGCGCCGUGUAGCGCUGUUCGACUUCCCAGCUUUCGCACACAGUCCUGCAGCCGCCGUGCAGCCAGCAAUCUGAAGUAGUGGGUAAUUAAAUGCAAAACGGGAUUAGCACAGUGCACUCCACUCGCUGUUUACAUGUGCUUCCAACAACACGAUACGGGCCGGCUAAAGCCAGGGAUAAAGGCGGCUGCUGUGGAUCGCUGUGGCGUAGAUUACACCAGAUUAGGAGAAACACAAGUUCUGGCAAAUAAUCGCGGCCCGCUGCUUUUCCGAUGGGGCCUUUUGUCACCAUUGUGUCUGGUGAAACCCCACCGACCAGCUGUUUGCUCCGACAAGAGGCGACGGCAGUAAUGGAAGGUCACUUUUGUGCUUAGGCUGCACUAUCACAGCUGGAGCCCGUUGUGUUCCCAGCAAACAGCUCACAGCACACUGGCUCCGAGCGUCUUUUAUUUCUUCUUUCUCAACCGGCUCUAAAUAACCUUCAUAUGCAGCCGAUGAGGACGAGGCUCAUUUUAACUUAGCAUGAAAUUCCAUUAGUACGAACCUAUUUCUUGCGCAGUGGUACAUCAAAGACAAGCGCUUCUUGUGGUACAGUAGAUGGAAGUGAUUAGAGCUCAGGCUUGAUGUCGCCUUUCACCAAGGUUAACAACCCAAAUGAAAGGUAGCUUCAACUUGAUUAGAUUCCAGCGGAACUGGGCCACUUUGUGAAAUUCCUGUCUUUGUUGGAAUAAUUUACUGCACGCUCGGUUCCUAAAACACUCGAAGGCGGAGAUGUUCUCAGCCUUAACAGUGGCCUGAGAUCCACGUCCUCUGGUUCUUUUUGCUAUUUCAUAUAAUUAUUAGUCCAGCGGGUCCUGCUUUUCGAAGCAUGUUACCUUGACGUGAAUAUCUAGAAAGCAAGGUCCGGUUGGUUUCACCAUCAGGUGCUUGAUAAGUUCUGUUACAGAUGUCACUUUCUGUCUGUUUUUCAUGUGUUCUGUACUCUGGUCAAUGGUCGAUAAUCUUUGUUGCCACUCUGUGUUGUUUGUGUACUUUU